CAUUGUCGAAAUCGAACGGAAGAACGACCCGCGAACAGUCAUUUCGUACCAUACAGGGACCGUGGGAGCGCAACGCUCGUGCGGCUCGCGUCGCGUCGGCGCGGACGUACCCGAGGCCCGCGUCGUACCGACGGAAAUACAUUGUCAGCACGGAUCGUGCCAAGGAGCUUCAUGGAGAGAAUCGUCGUCCCGCGCCCACGGCUGCCCUCGUUGAGGCGCUCGAGGCGGGGGACGUGCGCGAUCUCUGCUAAAGUCUAAAUGACUCUCGGCAACGGAUAUCUCGGCUCUUGCAUCGAUGAAGAACGUAGCGAAAUGCGAUACUUGGUGUGAAUUGCAGAAUCCCGCGAACCAUCAAUUCUUUGAACGCAAGUUGCGCCCGAAGCCAUUCGGCCGAGGGCACGCCUGCCUGGGUGUCGUGAAUCCCAUUGCCCCAGGGCACCCGUGUCCAUGCAUGCGCAUUGGCGGGGAAACGCUCGGGCGCAGAACGUGGCCUCCCGCGGAAUCGGCAUGCGUGUCGUGUCGAGGCGUGGUUGGCCGAAAAUUGAGAAUGGAAGUGACGGGCACCACGUCGUUCGGUGGAUCGAACUAGAUUGAUUUGGCUGCGUCUUGGUCUCGUCACGCGUCUCGCUCAGGGCUUCGAUGUUCCCGAGUGCGA
rnacentral:rRNA from 1 species